rnacentral:rRNA from 1 species
GGAGUGAAAGAACUUUGAAGAGAGAGUUCAAAAGGGCGUGAAACCGCUUAGAAGAAAACGGACGGAACCGUCUGACGCCCUCGGGAAUCAGUCGAACGACGCGCGAACGCGUCUCGAUCGUCGGAGCGUAAAAGUCCGGCUCGAGGCGUCUAGUAGUCGUGUUCGUAAGGCGCAUUUCUCGAGGGUUAGCGCCGCGACCGAUGCGAACGGCCGACGACGCCGUCGAGUUGAGGUCGAACGCCCUUCGCGGGUAUUCGUAACCAGCUCGUUCGGUAGAUAUAUAUAUUGUCGGAUCUAUUAUAAAGCAUCGAGCGAAUACUAUAAAUACGUCGGCGUAAAACGCUCGACGAGCGGCGGAGACUCGGCCAGUCGUUCGGUACCUGCUCGCAGGUUCUCGUUCGGCGCGAGGUCGUUUCCCGAUGUCGCCGUCGACGCUACCGACGUUUAGGCGUCCGCGGCGUCCGAGUCGGCCACCCGUCCGACCCGUCUUGAAACACGGACCAAGGAGUCUAACGUACGCGCGAGUUAAUGGGUGGAAAACCCAUAAGCGCAAUAAAAGUAAAAGUCGUCCCAAGACGGCCGAGGUACGAUCCUAGACUACGCGUCUAGGCGCAGUACCGUCCCGUCCCGACCGCACGUCGGUAGGGCGGAGAUUGAGCGCAUACGUUGGGACCCGAAAGAUGGUGAACUAUGCCUGAGCAGAGCGAAGCCAGAGGAAACUCUGGUGGAGGUUCGUAGCGGUUCUGACGUGCAAAUCGAUCGUCAGACUUGGGUAUAGGGGCGAAAGACUAAUCGAACCAUCUAGUA